AUUGAACGCUGGCGGCAGGCCUAACACAUGCAAGUCGAGCGAGUGGCGGACGGGUGAGUAAUGUCUGGGAAACUGCCUGAUGGAGGGGGAUAACUACUGGAAACGGUAGCUAAUACCGCAUACCAUCAGAUGUGCCCAGCUGGGAUUAGCUUGUUGGUGGGGUAAUGGCUCACCAAGGCGACGAUCCCUAGCUGGUCUGAGAGGAUGACCAGCCACACUGGAACUGAGACACGGUCAAGACGCCUACGGGAGGCAGCAGUGGGGAAUAUUGCACAAUGGGCGCAAGCCUGAUGCAGCCAUGCCGCGUGUGUGAAGAAGGCCUUCGGGUUGUAAAGCACUUUCAGCGAGGAGGCGUUACCCGCAGAAGAAGCACCGGCUAACUCCGUGCCAGCAGCCGCGGUAAUUC
rnacentral:rRNA from 1 species